CAAGUUUCUCCAUAGAUUUUGUACAUCCUUCGCACAACAACAAGAAUGGAGGAGGCUGCUAUCAGAGAUUGGAGUUUCUUGGAGAUGCCGUCUGGGAUUACUUAAUUACAUCAUAUAUUUAUCCAAAGUCGAAGCCUGGUCAAUUGACAGAUUUGAGAUCUGUGUUUGUGAAUAAUGAGGCGUUUGCCAAUCUUGCGGUAGAACGAUCCUUCCACAAAUUUCUUAUAUGUGAUUCCAGUGGCCUUACUGAGGCAAUUGAGAUGUAUGUCGAUGCUGUUAAAAUGCUCUUCUGCCCUGCUACCUCACCUGUAUCUAAUUAUCAUUCUUCCAUCAUUUGCUUCAACACCAGUGCUGUAAGAAGAGAAUGAAGAUGUAAACACCUUUUGAUUUUGAGCCAAAAAUUCUAGCCCUCAUUAAAGUAUCCGAUAGUAAUCCCCCAUGCAUAACACCUGUUAUUAAACACCCAUCUGGCACCAUAAGUGGGCAGGCUUGCAGGACAGAUGAAAAUCCAAGCUGUGAUCCUGACAUACAGCCCACAGGUGGUUCAAACAAAGCGACGGCAAGAUCUCGAUUGUAUGAAAUCUGUGCUGCUAACUGUUGGAAAGCCCCUCUAUUUGAAUGUUGCAGAGAGGAAGGACCAAGCCACUUAAAGUUAUUCACUUUCAAGGUGAUUGUGGAAAUAGAAGCCCCAGAUGUUAUUUUGGAGUGCUUGGGAACACAGCAGUCAAAAAAAAAUAUGCAGCAGAAGGAGCCCCUCGAAG